GAUUCCAGAAGUGAAAGACCCUGGUGGCCGUGGUGGUUGUAUCUGAGCCUUUUUUGAGGUCUUCCCUCUACUCUGCAGAAUUAAAGAGAUGGUUUAAGUGAUAAACUAUUCCUUAUGAGCUGUAUUUGUGUUGAAAGCACAGCAUGAGUUCCCAGCACGCUUCCUCUAGCACAACCACAGCUAUGCACCAAUCCUCCUGGGUUCAGAGAUGGAACUUGGGUUAAAUGCAUGGAAUUUAUUCUUAGUCCUUUUCUUAAUUACGACUUUUUAUUUCUCUGGUGUUCUCUAGGGGAGGGGUUAGAGAAGAGAGGAAAAGGAAGAAAGAAAGGGGGCAGGGAAAUAUAGAUUCAAUGCUUUUGUUUUGUUUCUGGGCUGCUUGCUAUCAGCAAAGUAGAGAGAUUUAACGGAUCUUGCCGAGAAUGCAAGCCUCAUUCCAAGGAAGCCAGAGCUCAGAAGACAUGGAACAAAUACAAUGAAAACAUAACUUGAGGUCGGAAAAUGUCCCCUGAAUAUUUAUGUCAAUGUCCUACCUUAGUGAAUAUUACUUAAUACUGUGGCUCCUUUAAAGCAUUUAGCACAUUUGUACCAUGAAGAUACUGAGGCUGCCAUCAUGCUCUGUUAUUCUAAGAGAAAGAUCAACAGCAACAACAACAAUAAUAAUUUAAAAAGCAGAGGAAGAAAGUAAUCCAAGAAGACAGACGCAGAGCCUCUAAGAUCAUGAAGGAUGAUUAAAAGAACAAGUUGGGGAUGAAAAUGGGGAAUCAGAAAGCUUAUCAUCAGUGUGAUUUCAUUAUGAAGUCAGAUGGAAUGAGGAGUGUGUAAAUCCAGAAUCAGAAUCCCAGCGACGAAGCUUUUCUUGCUCUGUUACCUUGGAAAAUGCUUUGAACCAGACCAGAUAAGAAAAGUAAAAGUCUGGAGUGUAAUCCUUCCAAUUGUCUUUUGGCUUCUCUUCUACUUCUACAAAAAGUUCAACAAAAAUUAGAAUUUGAAACAACGGAAAGAGAGAAAUUUUAGGUUAGUAGCUAAAUCCCCAAGGAUACUAAUUAGAGAAAGAUGUUGGAAUUGCCUUAAUGAGUCACUGCCAACGCAAGUCCUAAGGAAGCAAAGACUGUGAGUAAGCAAAGGUAGCCAGCUGCUGGGAAGAGGACAAUAGAGGAAAAGGUCAGAGGGACUUUAAAAGACUGACUGUGGGCUCCCUGAGGGAAGGAGGGAUGGAGAGAGUAUCGGGUCCUAUAGAAUACCUUAAUUGUUUUUAUGACUUCUCUUUUCCAUAUCCAGUUCACAUGUACUCCUUUCUGUGCAUUAAAUUGAGUUUCUAUUGGCUUCUUUGUAACAAAAAGAACUGAACAGAAACACAUAUCUAUUGGACAAAGAGCAAUAAAAUGAUAUAAUAACUGUAUCUGAGGGUUUUUUCAUUUUAAAGAAUAAAACAAAACAAAAAUCAAACAAAAAAAACCAUCUAUCUGAUGUUGCUCCACUCCCAACAGCAUCACUAACCGGUAUGUACCCAGCUUCAGCUAAAUAUCCCUAAAACACCUCUUACUUUCCAAGGCAAAGUCUCCCACUGUUGAGUCGUGUUGACUGAUAAAAAGUUCCCUCUGGGGUAAAAAAAUGAAAUUAGUUUUACCUAUCCUGGGGUCACCUCCAAAUACAUAUGCCUGUAAUGUAUUUCAAUUAGAAUACAUUACACACUCCCUGUCACCUUCACUAGGAGAAAAUCAGCAAAGUCAACCAGCAUUUUUAGUUGUCACAACUAAAAGGUACUCCUAGCAUCUGGUAGGCGGAGGCCAGGGAUGCUGCUAAACAUCCUACAAUGGACAGGACAGCCUCUCACAACAAAGAAUUUCCAGCCCAAAAUGUCAACUUUGCCAAAGUAGAAAAGCCCUGUACUAAAGGAGACCUUCCAUAUAAUAGACGGAACCCCCUCUUAGAAGAGAGGCCUUAGAAAUGCUAUGGUUUUGGAGCUUUUCUAUUGAGCCCCUCAUAUUUUCCAUCAACAGCAAGGCCCAGGUAUUAAUUAUAUGGUCUUAUUCUGUGACCUGGUUUGUCAUUCCUGAAAUAGCUAAAAGUAAAACAGAUGUCAUUUCAAUAUCAAGAAGCAGUGGAACAGAAAGUGCCAAGGAGCAGGUGUAUCAGAUACUCAGAGGUGGUAAAGUCAUGGCUGUCCAUGCUUUGGAGCUAGGGCAUCUACAAUGCAAAGGAAGAUUUUAAAUGUGAAUUUUGUGUUCUGGUCUAUGAGUAGAUGAUUCACGACACUAGUUUGAAAAUGCCUGAGUAAUAACUUGACUUUGUUUCUGCACUGGACAUCUGUUGUUUUUGUUCACUGGCAUCACUUCCCUUUUCUUUUUUUCUUUCUUUUUUUUUUUCUUUUUUUUUUUUUUUUUUUUUUUUGAGACACAGUCUUGCUCUGUCCCCCAGGCUGGAGUGCAAUGGCAUGAUCUCGGCUCACUGCAACCUCCACCUCCCAGGUUCUAGCGAUUCUCCUGCCUCAGCCUCCUGAGUAGCUGGGAAUGCAUGCGCAUGCCACCACGUCUGGCCAAUUUUAUUUUAACUAGAGACAGGGUUUCAUCAUGUUGGCCAAGCUGGUCUCGAACUCCCGACCUCAGGUGAUUCCUCUGCCUCAGCCUCCCAAAGUGCUGGGAUUACAGGCAUGAGCCACCAUUCCCGGCUCCCUUCCCUUUUCUUAUGGGAACAGCAUUGAAUUUUCCUUUGAGAAAAUACCUCUCCCUAUAGGGGUAGUUCCUACAAAGUUUCGAUGGAAUUAUGUCAGAGGCUCUUAUACUUUCACACCAUGGCUUGGCAAGUAUCUCAAUCUAGGCCAAUCAGUCUUUGUUUCCUUAGGAUAUACAUCUUGAGUGAAGUAAUGCGUGAAUGGGAAACAUUUAAAGCUGAUUCAUGUGAAUUGGGAUAGUUCCUGAACAGAAUGCCUACGGUUCUUUCUAU
rnacentral:lncRNA from 1 species